GACGAACGCUGGCGGCGUGCCUAAUACAUGCAAGUAGAACGCUGAAGCGAGGAGCUUACUCUUCUUGGAUGAGUUGCGAACGGGUGAGUAACGCGUAGGUAACCUGCCUUGUAGCGGGGGAUAACUAUUGGAAACGAUAGCUAAUACCGCAUAACAAUGGAUGACACAUGUCAUUUAUUUGAAAGGGGCAAUUGCUCCACUACAAGAUGGACCUGCGUUGUAUUAGCUAGUAGGUGAGGUAAUGGCUCACCUAGGCGACGAUACAUAGCCGACCUGAGAGGGGGAUCGGCCACACUGGGACUGAGACACGGCCCAGACUCCUACGGGAGGCAGCAGUAGGGAAUCUUCGGCAAUGGGGGCAACCCUGACCGAGCAACGCCGCGGGAGUGAAGAAGGUUUUCGGAUCGUAAAGCUCUGUUGUAAGUCAAGAACGGGUGUGAGAGUGGAAAGUUCACACUGUGACGGUAGCUUACCAGAAAGGGACGGCUAACUACGUG
rnacentral:rRNA from 1 species